GGUCUUUCUUAGGGUGCCUUAGAUGGUGGACUUGACAUUCCUCAUAGUGACAAGAGGUUUGCUGGUUUCAAAAAGGAGGACAAACAACUUGAUCCUGAGGUUCACCGAAAGUAUAUAUUUAGUGGUCAUGUUGCUUCUUACAUGAGGAUGAAGGAAUGGGUAUUGUAUGUUGGAACAAAAGGUUGCUGAUAACAGAAUGUUCACAUGAACUCUUGAAACAAGCAGGAAGCAGCUGCAUGUAAUUCUAUUCAAGUGAGGAUCCUUGAGCCUUGGGGCUUUUUCAGUGGGGUACACUGGACUUAGAUUGAAAAAAUAGAGAAAAAAACCUUUUAAAUCACAUUUAAGAUGGCCUUCAUUAGCUGAGAUUCUUUGACAUUAACAGAGCUUGUGUAGGAGAACUACAUCUCACAUGGAGAAACAGGUACUAAAAAGUAGACUGAACAACUAGACUAGAAGAAAAGCUCUUGGACAUGGUUAGUUCCAUAAAGGAGGAAUAUGAUCAAGCCCAAUCUGAGCUCAAUUUGAGUCAUUCAAAGAUGAAAGAAUGUGACGCUGAGAUCAGUGCCAUUCUCAAGGAGCAACAGAAGCUUCAACAUAAAAUUAGUGAUGCAAAUGUUGAGAGGAAAAAAUUGGAAAAUGAGAUUAAGCGAAUGGAGAUGGAACAGAAAGAUUACUCCCUGAAGGUAGAUAAACUACUAGAAAGGCAUAGUUGGAUUGCAGCUGAGAAACAAUUAUUUGGAAAAAGUGGGAUAGAUUAUGACUUCUCAUCUCGUGAUCCUCGUAAAUCAAGGGAGGAGCCUGAGAAACUUCAAUCUGAACAAUCUGGAAGGUUAAUGGACAUGCAUCUCAGUUAAUCUGAUUGAUUGCUUUCAACCUUUAGAAGAGGGCUAACAAAAAAGUUAUGGCAAUGUUCGAGAAAGCUGAAGAUGAAUACAAUGACUUAUUAUCCAAGAAAAACAUCAUUGAGAAUGAUAAGUCAAAAAUCAAGAAGGUGAUUGAAGAGCUUGAGAAAAGAAGAGGGAAACACUAAAAGUUUCUUGGGUGAAAGUGAACAAGUGAGUCAACACUUCUCUGCUCUCAUGUUCCAGUUCAUAUUUUGUGCUUUUUAGUUGAAAAUCAAGAAUGCCAUUUACUUUUGUUGGUAUAUUUCAGCGAAAGAAAUUUCCUUUCCGGAUUAUGUUAGUGUGCGUGAUUUCAGCGUUUCAGAUAGCUGAAACUAUGGCCCAAAUUAUAGUAUCCGACUUCCUUGGAUCCCUGGAUCAGACAAAUUCGGUGGAUCCCGAGGAUAGGCCGUGUUUAUGUAUUUGCUCAAAAUUAAUGAAGCAGUCCCGGAUGUGCGUCGGAGCUAUCCGGAUGAGCGGGGGUCCCUGGAAGGUGGGAACUGCUGUUAUGACCAUGAUGAAGCUGUCCAUUUCCUAUGGACAGCAUUGGAGGGGCCUAGCCAUUUGGACAGGCUGUGUUUAUGUAUUUCCUCGAAAUUAAUGGAGCAGACCCGGAUGUGCGUCGGAGCUAUUCGGAUGAGCGGGGGUCCCUGGAAGGAGGGAACCGCUGUUAUGACCAUGAUG